rnacentral:rRNA from 1 species
GUGCGGACGAAGGCCUUCGGGUUGUAAACUGCUUUUGUACGGAACGAAAAAGCUUGGUUAAUACCCAGUCUCCAUGACGGUACCGUAAGAAUAAGCACCGGCUAACUACGUGCCAGCAGCCGCGGUAAUACGUAGGGUGCAAGCGUUAAUCGGAAUUACUGGGCGUAAAGGGUUCGUAGGUGGCCAACUAAGUCAGACGUGAAAUCCCUCAGCUUAACUGGGGAACUGCGUCUGAUACUGGAUGGCUUGAGUGCAGGAGAGGAACGCGGAAUUCCAGGUGUAGCGGUGAAAUGCGUAGAUAUCUGGAGGAACACCGGUGGCGAAGGCGGCGUUCUGGACUGCAACUGACACUGAGGAACGAAAGCCAGUGGAGCAAACGGGAUUAGAUACCCCGGUAGUCCUGAACCUAAACGAUGAAUGCUUGGUGUAACGGGUAUCGAUCCCCGUUGUGCCGAAGCUAACGCAUUUAGCAUUCCGCCUGGGGAGUACGGUCG